AUUGAACGCUGGCGGCAGGCCUAACACAUGCAAGUCGAGCGGAUGAAGGGAGCUUGCUCCUGGAUUCAGCGGCGGACGGGUGAGUAAUGCCUAGGAAUCUGCCUGGUAGUGGGGGAUAACGUCCGGAAACGGGCGCUAAUACCGCAUACGUCCUGAGGGAGAAAGUGGGGGAUCUUCGGACCUCACGCUCUCAGAUGAGCCUAGGUCGGAUUAGCUAGUUGGUGGGGUAAAGGCCUACCAAGGCGACGAUCCGUAACUGGUCUGAGAGGAUGAUCAGUCACACUGGAACUGAGACACGGUCCAGACUCCUAAGGGAGGCAGCAGUGGGGAAUAUUGGACAAUGGGCGAAAGCCUGAUCCAGCCAUGCCGAGUGUGUGAAGAAGGUCUUCGGAUUGUAAAGCACGUUAAGUUGGGAGAAAGGGCAGUAAGUUAAUACCUUGCUGUUUUGACGUUACCAACAGAAUAAGCACCGGCUAACUUCGUG
rnacentral:rRNA from 1 species